ACGAAAUACUAAGCUUGCUUAGUAUUUAGUGGCGGAAGGGUUAGUAAUACAUGGGUAACCUGCCUUUAACUUUGGAAUAACGGUUGGAAACGAUCGCUAAUACCAAAUGUGGUGGAUUAAGGCAUCUUAGUUUCAUUAAAGUGGGGGAUCGUAAGACCUCGCGGUUAAAGAGGGGCCCAUGCGAUAUCAGCUAGUUGGUGAGGUAAUGGCUCACC
rnacentral:rRNA from 1 species